rnacentral:rRNA from 1 species
CGGGUGAGUAACACGUAUCCAACCUGCCGUCUACUCUUGGACAGCCUUCUGAAAGGAAGAUUAAUACAAGAUGGCAUCAUGAGUCCGCAUGCUCACAUGAUUAAAGGUAUUCCGGUAGACGAUGGGGAUGCGUUCCAUUAGAUAGUAGGCGGGGUAACGGCCCACCUAGUCUUCGAUGGAUAGGGGUUCUGAGAGGAAGGUCCCCCACAUUGGAACUGAGACACGGUCCAA